rnacentral:lncRNA from 1 species
CAGAUUUGAAAACAAUUUUGUUUGUGCGCAGUGCGCACGUCGAGUAUGUAAGGUGCACCUUUAAAUUUUGACGGAGGAUGCAAUUCAUCAAGAAAACCUUACAAUGGCUUGAAAAUCCAUAUUCAACUUUAACUAUGAAAUUGAAAAUCUAAAACCGGUGAAGAUCAAGCAUAUCUAUAGACAUUUAUAAAAUCUUGUAAAUCGACCGUAUAGAUAAUAUGUUACAAAAUGUGUUUUUUGUAGGACUUGAAAUUUUUUUUUUUCUUUAUAUUCAUAUUUCUCAAAGUUGAGAUUAUCAAUCGGAUGGUUUUUCAAUUUUGGAAUAUUAUUUUCUACUAGAUUUUUGAAGUGCACUUUACUUCUAUGGUAUAAAAUUGCAAC